rnacentral:rRNA from 4 species
UCUGGUGAUUAGUGCGAAGUGGUAACACCUCUUCCCAUUCCGAACAGAGAAGUGAAACGCUUCAGCGCCGACGAUACUGGACUUGUUCCGGGACAAUAAGUCAUCGCCAGAA